CUGCCUGCUGCACUUUGCCCUGCGGAGGGCCGGGAUACCUGGCUGCUCUCUAUGGGCCUCGGCAGCGCAGCCGGACGGACUCCCAUCCACCGGCGCUGACAGCACUGCCCGGCAGCCCUGGAACGAAGGAGGCGGCCGUUCCCCCGCCCAGCGAGGAAGCACCUGCGCGCUCCACAUGUUCUCUCCCACGCAAUCAGAGUUUGCUCUGCUCUCAAGCAAACGCAAACAGAAGCACUGCUAUACGCGCUCCGCAAAUAUUUACAUCUGAAACAAACUUCUGCGCCAGGCCCCGCUGCCAGCCCGGCGAACGCGAGCACGGCUCUACUUCUUCCCUUCGACUUCGCUGGACGACGUCACCGCGGCACGGAGACCGCAUCGAAAGGAGCGGAUGAAGUCAGUUCGGCUCUCACCACCCAAACCGCCCUAAGAAAGGUGGCUGCUGCGAGAGCGGCGCCUACACGAGCACCGCACGAACGCGGCCGAGGCAGCCCCCACUCACCUGCCGGCCGGCCCGCAGCCUCCCGCGGGGCGGCGCCGCCGCUGCCGGAGCCGGGAGCCGCGCGGGGCAGCGGGGAGAGCCUGGCGGCCGCCGCCGACCAAGAGGAGGCGGGGGCGGGCGCGGGGGGCGCGCGUGAUCCCGGCGCGGCGGCGGCGGCGGCGGGCGGCGGGGCGAAGAGGUAGAAGGGGCUGUAGUAGGCGGCGGGGGCGGCCCCCGGCGGGGCAGAGGGAGGGGGCGGCGGUGCGGCGAGGCGGGCGGCGGGGCCGGCGGCGAGCAGAGCGGGCAGGCCGCAGUGCCAGCUGAGGUAGCCGCAGUACGAGUCCCACAGCCACUGGUGCACCCGCCGCGCGUACUCCGCCGCGCUCAGCGCCUUCCCCCCGUCGUCGGUCCCCGCGGCCGUCGGUGCAGAGCAGGGAGGCGGCGGCGGCGGCGACGCGGGAGCGGCCUCUCCGCCGCCGUCGCUCCCAUCCUGGGCGCCCCCUGCCAUCGCCGCCGCUCCGGCGCCGCUACGGGCCGUGCCCGGCUCCGUGCCGGACUCCGCCAUCUCCGGCAUCGCCGCUGACGCUGAGCACCUCCCGCACCGCGCAUGCGCCAGGGUGCGCUUCGUCUCUCCCACUCGGCGGGGGGGUGAGCAGGGUAAGCCGAGAAACACCACGCGCCGAGAGGGAAGCAGCUUUCCCACCCCUGUGCCGCCAGAUGGUAUCGCCCAGCGCCGGGGUAGGGCUGCGCUUAAGCUGGGGAGCGUCCGAACACCCCCGAAGUGAGGGGAGUUGCGGCCCCACAGCCGUCGCAGCUGGGUGAGGGUAGAGCCGCCGCCCCGCCCCACCCCCACCCCGCCGUGUGAGGGCGCGAAACGCCUCAGCACCUCAGCAAUGCUCCUUUCCCGCCUCCCUGUGACACAGUGAGGAGCCCAGAAACCGUCUGGCAUCCGAAAUUGGAAGUCCGAAAGAACACGGGCGGUUUAUCCGACCAACACCAGUGGCACUGGGAAACAAGGAUCUAAUUUGCUAGAACGCGAGGAACAUAUCUGGAUUUCAAAUGCAGGCUUGAAAUUGCUCAUCCUUUUCUCUUCUGUAGGUCUGUUAAGUAUUAGCGUCGCGAUCAGUUUUUUUAGGACGCGCUUUUAAUGGAAAAUGGUGUUAAUUGUGGAAAUAGCGGUGUUGAAAAAACAUUCAAAUGAUUCCAACAGGUAGAUGUUUUUUCUUCCGCAUUCAUUCCCCUCAAGCCUUUUACCCAGAUGACCUUGUAAUGUCUUAACAGUGACACUUGGACAGCAGUUUCUCAAUCCCUUGACAGGCAGCACGCACAGCCUUUGUAAACACCAGUCCAGCGUCUUGCGUUCACAGGAAGAGCUCGCCAUUUGCCCGCGCCUCAGCUGCUCUCUGCCAUCUGGUGGAUACGCGGAGUCACUGCUUCGAUACUUCCAAUUUCCACAAAGAACGCGGUGUUCUGAAUAACUAAGCCGAUAUCGCACAACCGCAGGAUGGCUGAGGCUGGCCGGCCCUCUCUGCCCACCUGGACCCAGCCCUGCCCGAGCGGCGUGCCCAGGGCCAUGGCCAGACGGCUUCUGGAGAUCUCCAAGGAGGGGACUCCGCAGCCUCUGGGCAGCCUUUGUCAAUGCUCUGUCUCCCGCACAGCACAGAAGUGCGGUCUGCUGGUUGGUCAGAACCUCCUGUGUGGCAGUUUGUGCCCAGUGCCCUUUGUUCUGCUGCUUUCUACCUGAGAGGCCCCAGCCUGUCCUGCGUUUGGCCCUUCUCCUUCCUGCACUUCAUGUUGUCCUUUUACAGAGGUGCUAUUUAAGAAAGCAUAAAAGAUCUCACAAGAAAAACACUGUUUAUGUUUGAAAACUUAGAUCAAAAUCUCUCGUGUAUUUUACCAGCUGAUUUGCAGCCUAGUGAACAUUUGACCCACGUAGGUUAAAAAUGAACAGGCUAGUUACACCAUACGCAUUCGUUCCAUAACAAUGUAUGCACCACAGCUACUGUUCUCUGUUCAGAUUCAGAGGCAGAAGCACGAUUUUAAAGCAGUGCAGACCAAGCUGAAAUACGUGGCCUAUCUCAUGUGGCAGCGUGCAGUAAAAAGAAGGGAUUGAUGGAAUGCUACGGCUGCACAGCAUUUAGUGCUUCAUUCCUUGCUGGAGUCAAUCCUUGAACACAGGUCAGGCUUGCUGGUGAGGAUGUGGACACAACUGACCAGAGCUGGGAUCUCUCGUCAAAUCAUCAUUCUGCAGCUUGGUGAUUAUUUCUAACUCAAGAUGUUUGUAAGUGAUUCUUUCAAAAAGGAGGUUUUAACAUUUAAUGGUACACAAAGUCAUAUAGGGUAGAAUCAGAACCUCGGCUUUAUCUCAUUUAUUUUGCAUUCCUUUGCAUUUUUGAAGACAGGUUGCAGAGAGCAGCCCCAACUACUGAAAACAUACAGCAAAUAUUUUUCCCGAGGAUUAGAGCUGACAAAACACAGUCAUGGCUUUGUGCCACGUGGCUGACUUUCCAUACUUGAUAAAAGAUGUCUGCAUAUUUAAAAAGUCUCUCUCCUAUUCUACUUUUGCGGUGUCUAACGCUGUGUGGACUUCGUUGGCCUUUUCUCCGGUUACCAGUGUUACCUUGGGUCUCUUAAUGUAAGGCCUCUUUCCUUAUCUUUUCAAGCUCUGCUCUCUGACAAAGUUCUCAGGUGUGGUCAGACCUUCAAGCACACGGUGUGACUGCACAGGACUUCUUCCUGUUAAGAAACUCAUCAAUAAUUGUGUGUGGGUCUUGCACAUUGCAGGAGUGCGGGUGUUAGAGAGAAGGCUUAGCCAUAAGGGAAUUUGCUCUGAAAUGUUUAAAAGAAGAUUGAUACAAGUAAACCAGCCUUGAGGAGAGAGCUGAACCCUUUGGAAGAACUUAAGGAGUUUGUCCUUGUAGCAAGUCAGAGCCACCUCACUGUUUUCUGUUUACCAGCAAGCAUUUUGUACUUGUUUUUUGCCAUACCUCCAUGGGAGCAUGUGGCUUCCUGCCUUUGUGUAACAACUUCAGCCCUGUUUGAUGCUGGAUAAAAACAUGAGUCACUCUUUCAGAUCACAGUGCUCCAGAAUGAGAUCGUUUUACAUAACAAAUCAUGAUUAUGAUUUGAAGAUGAAACAAUCCUCCCACAACCCUUUUAUCACAAGUAUGUGAUGCUAUUUUUCAAAUAUGCUGCACAUCUACGUGAAAUACGGGAUGGACUGCUCCUGGAGUUUGUUAACACGGGAGGGAUGCAUCCAAAGACAUGCAGAGAAACAAUGGGAAAAGCUGAAAAUAGAAGGUAGACUUGCACAGAUCAUGAUCAUCUCCCUAGACAAAGUAUCUGGAAGAUAGAGGUGUACCUAGAAAUGAGAACCACGAGCAGCUGGGCUCCAUUGCCGUCACGGAAGUUAUAUGCACAGAACUUCAAGUUUAUCUGCUGACGUGCAGCACAGCUACUACUCACUGUCAGGUGAGUAAUGGCCGCUGGCAUGCUGAUGUUUGAUGAGACGGGAGGAGCAGCUACUUCUUCUCAGUUAAGUUUUUGAAAUGGCAUUUAAGACGGGGAAGGCGUAUAGGACAAACAGUACGGCACAGUAAGCUCUGAGCAACUUUAUAUUUAAACAAGUACAUUUUCCUGUUUUAUUUCAUAAGAAGUCUACUGUUGAAAAAUGGUAUAUACUAAGGCAGACACAUUAUACAUAUAGAUUAAAGAUCAGAUAGCAAAACCUUGCGGAAUGAGCACUACUGUUGUGUUAUAUAGGUUGUACAAUCAAAGAUAGUUAAAAACCCUCAAGGAUUAAUGUACUUUCAAGGUAAAUUAGGCACAAAAUUUAGCUUGUAACUAGCUCUGCAAGCAUCUCACUUUGAUUUCACCAUUACAAAGUAUUACAAGUGAUCAAAAACAUAUGCUGGCUGCAAAAUUUUAAAAUUUUAUUGUACUAUGUGCUGAAAUAGUACAAAUGUAUACAAGACUCCACCUUUGUUAAAAAAGCAUGUACAAUAGGGACUAUAGAAAGUAGAACUGAAGGGCCAAGCGGGCUUUAUUUGGGCUCAACUGAUAGGUCAUAAAUCUAUGGCUUUGCUUCGUGGAUGUAUUUGAAAUUGAAUAAGUGUUAGAAAUGCAGGGAAGAAACAGAAAAAAGAUAUUUUAAUCGAUAGAAGCUAUGAUAGGUAUGAUAGAUAGAUUUUAAAGGAACUUUAACAAGCAAACUAAGUGAUCUCUGACAUGUGCCUCUCACCCUGGGAAAACCACCUGCCUGGUCGUGGUAUCUCCCCUGCCAGCUUGCUGAAUAGCAAAGGUGCAGUUUGCAGGACAGAGUGUGAGAUUUAAAGCAUGAGGGAUUGUCUGAAAAACAACAAAAGACAGCUGUGGAGCAAAACCUUUCAGGUGAUUUGCUGCAAGGUGUUAGUUCACACGAGGCUUCGGUUUCAAAAGAAUUACUGAUUUGCAAGAAAUGAGAGGGCAACAGCAGGUCUGCGUGGGCCAGAAUAAAAUCUUGUAUCACUGAAAACACAGGGAUCUUCUAAAUACACACAUUAGAAAAGUGUUAGAUUAAAAUAUCGUGUUAUUUCCUCUUCCAUUAGGAAAAUGUAUUGCUGAAAGUUAUCCUUUUUUUGCUUGCUUAAAAAAAAAAGAUUGCCACAGAACUAGAAGGAACUGUCAGGUAGUUCUCCCCAGGGGUGCGUUUGUACUGCAUUAUACAGGAGUAGCUUAAAAGGUGAAAAAAAACAUCGGAGAGUCUUAAUGCUGUUUUUGAUUAGCAGAAACAUAAGAAGGAAUGCCCGGAAGCAAUGUGAUAACCAAGUGUUUCAUGCAGUAUUUUGGCUUAACGAAUAAAGUGUUUCAAACCAAUGACGAGACUGGAAGGCGGGGGUUUCAAGCCAUUACAUUCACAUGACAUCAUUGAGAAGUAAAACCGUAAGUGAAGGCAAACUGUGGAAACUUGAGAAAUGCUGAGGUGCCUAACAAAAGCGUGCCAGAUGAGUUAUUGUUUCUAGCAUGCACAGCUAAUGCUUGAAGGCCUAUCACAGCAGUAGGAGCUACUGCUAUUUCUAGUUCUUUACGUUGCUGCGUUGUUUCUGCUGGCUAUAGUCUGGUCAUGGUCAGUGAGCGCUGAGUGGUGUUAGGAGGUUAACCCACGAUCUCUGCAGGUUCAGUGACCAACUUAGAUCCAUCCCAUGCUGUCUUGAACUGUUCAGGAACCGGAAAUUCUUUAUAAUCACCAUCUUGGGGGAUGAGGAUGUUCAUCUCAGAAGACUUGGCACUCACGAUCUCACAAUCUAACGAUUCCUCACUGAGGUAGAUGUGACAGCCUUCUGUUUUGUUAAUAGAAAUGGUUGGCACUUUCCCCAUCACCUGAAUCUGAAUAUCCCUGGAAUUGAUCACUUCCACGAUUCCCACAACGUUGUCAAACACGAGGCCAAACUUUUUACAGUUAUCAAUAGUAAUUGAAUUGAUCUUUCCUUUUAUCUGAAGUGUAGACUUGUUACACUUGAAGAUGUAGGCUACUUGCUUGAGUUCAGUGUUGGUAAUGACCAGGUCAUUCUUAUCCUCUUGAUAUUCCACUCUCCAUUUUUUCCCCUCUAGCUCCAAGACGGGGGCAUGGCUCUGCUGCGGGGAGUUCUUGGGGGAGGUGGGACUCGGAGUAUGGCUUUUCGUGGGAGAACGAGCGGGUGGACCUUGGGCACGUAGGCUGGGGUUCUUGUGAGUCUUCUGGUCAUCAGAGACAUGGCGAAGCCCUUUGGUAAUUGCCUCUCCUUGGUUAAGCUGUGCAAACAGGGCUGAGCGAGAUGCCGUUCCUUCAUCCUUUGGGGGGGUUUCUGUAUCGAAGAUGGGGGGAGGUCCCGGUGGAGGCGGUGGUGGUGGAGGCGGUGAAGAGAGGCAUGACCCACUGGUUAGGACAGACCUCAUAGAUGUGGGUGAUGCAACAGGACCCUGUGUGGGAUAGAUGGAAAUGAUUUUUAAAUACAAUUUUUCAAGGAACACUUUAUUAUGAUAGCUCUUACUCGUUAACAUCCUUGGAUACUGUUGAGUUUCAUUGAUUCCAGACAGCAACAGAUUCAGAACUUCUAGCAUCGUAAGUGAAAAUAACACUAUUAUUCUUUCCUUGCAUCAAUGGACGCAAGGCUGGAAAGGCAGGUAGUCCACACUGCUCCUCCACCUAACAUACUUACACAAAAUGCUUGCCAA
rnacentral:lncRNA from 1 species